rnacentral:rRNA from 1 species
GCCGGAAUUGCUAGUAAUGGCAGGUCAGCAUACUGCCGUGAAUACGUUCCCGGGCCUUGUACACACCGCCCGUCACACCAUGAGAGUUGGGAAUACCCGAAGCCUGUGAGCUAACUAAUAGAGGCAGCAGUCGAAGGUAGAGCCAAUGAUUGGGGUGAAGUCGUAACAAGGUAAC